rnacentral:rRNA from 1 species
UACGAAGGGGGCUAGCGUUGUUCGGAAUUACUGGGCGUAAAGCGCACGUAGGCGGGUAUUUAAGUCAGGGGUGAAAUCCCAGAGCUCAACUCUGGAACUGCCUUUGAUACUGGGUACCUAGAGUAUGGAAGAGGUGAGUGGAAUUCCGAGUGUAGAGGUGAAAUUCGUAGAUAUUCGGAGGAACACCAGUGGCGAAGGCGGCUCACUGGUCCACUACUGACGCUGAGGUGCGAAAGCGUGGGGAGCAAACAGG